CCUGUCCGGCUACGGGAACUCCAUCUUCUUCCCUAACUUGUGACUCUUGGGACAUCUCCUCCCUGUCACUAUAUGGGCCUCUCCUGGUCUCUAGUGCAGCUCAUCUGUUUAUAACAGUUUGAAGGCUCACUCAACACAUCUUAAAAGCUUGGCCUCCAAAGACUCUCCAAAGAGGAAGACUCAGUACGGAGGUGAGCCUUGAAGGAUUCAUUGAUUUCACAGGUGGCUGAAGAUGUCAAAAACUUUUUUUCAAAUAGUACUGGCCAUUUAGAUUUCUUCUGAGACCUGCCAGCCUAUUCCAUUGGCUCACUUCUGCAUUGUAUAUACUUGUGCAGAAAAUUUUCCAUAAAGAAGUAAACAACUGGAGAAGAUAACCAGAUGCGAAUGGUUAUCUGGACCUCACUCCACCAAUGACGUCAAAAAUAGUUUAAAGAGACAGCAAGCUGACAUCUCCGCCCUGGUAGCAAUGGCUGCCUGAAGUCAUCCUCCGAGCCAAAAUCCUCAGACUGAGCUUCCCAGACUCUGCCACAAUGACCAGAGACCAUCCGAGACCACUCGAGACUCCGUGGGCAAGCAACCUUCGUUGUCAAGCAUUCUUCGUAGCCAAGCAUUCUUUGUGGUCAAGCAUUCUUCGUGGUCAAGCAUUCUUCGUGGCCAAGCAUUCUUCGUGGUCAAGCAUUCUUCGUGGUCAAGCAUUCUUCGUGGUCAAGCAUUCUUCGUGGCCAAGCAUUCUUCGUGGCCAAGCAUUCUUCGUGGUCAAGCAUUCUUCGUGGUCAAGCAUAACCCUCCAGCUGAGAGAUAGCUGAGCCAGCUCCCCACCAGCUAGAGCUACUGCUGCUUUUGCUUUUGGAAAUUCAGCACCUUGCCAUUUAAGUAUGCUCCCUCAGAGACUGAAGACAAAGUCAAGAAAAGCUCUACCAACACUUGUGAAAAUUGGCUCAUCGUGUCCACCAUAAUGUCAUCUGUACCCGAUAAGCACAUUCGAGCAAGAACACUUCUGUCUGGUGCAGUAGUCAUGUGUGGAGUUAGUCUGUGCCAGGGACAUGGCAGUUGACAUUGCUCUGUCUUUCAUGGGAAGGGCUGAGUACAGUACUUGUGUGGGAAGAGAAAAGAGUCAAGGGAGGUGAGGGGAGGAGUAAGAGGCAGAUCAGUAUUAUGAGUCCAUCCAGUUUUACCAGGGCGCAAUGGCAAUGACUAGAUGCCCAGAAGAGGCCUUUGGAAGAGAGUCUUAUAUGCCAAGUUGAGAGAGUCACUUGGUCAGAAAGAAGCAAUGUCAGCUUUUAAAUGGUGCAAAGAAGAGAGUCAGGUAUGAAGGACUGUCUUAAUCCCUGUUCUAUAGCUGUGAAGAGACAUCAUGAUGAAGGCACCUCUUACAAAGAAAGAAUUGAAUUGGGGCUUGCUUACAGUUCCAGAAGGUUUUAGGUUUCCAUAUAUGUAAAGGGACACCAUGACCAAGGCAAGUCUUAUAAAGGACAAUAUUUAAUUGGGACUGGAAUAUAGAUUCUGAGGUUCAGUCCA